rnacentral:rRNA from 1 species
AGAGUUUGAUCCUGGCUCAGAUUGAACGCUGGCGGAAUGCUUUACACAUGCAAGUCGAACGGCAGCACGGAGAGCUUGCUCUCUGGUGGCGAGUGGCGAACGGGUGAGUAAUAUAUCGGAACGUGUCCAAUAAUGGGGGAUAACGAGUCGAAAGAUUCGCUAAUACCGCAUACGCCCUACGGGGGAAAGCAGGGGAUCGUAAGACCUUGCGUUAAUGGAGCGGCCGAUAUCUGAUUAGCUUGUUGGUGAGGUAAAGGCUCACCAAGGCGACGAUCAGUAGCUGGUUUGAGAGAACGACCAGCCACACUGGAACUGAGACACGGUCCAGACUCCUACGGGAGGCAGCAGUGGGGAAUUUUGGACAAUGGGGGCAACCCUGAUCCAGCCAUUCCGCGUGAGUGAAGAAGGCCUUCGGGUUGUAAAGCUCUUUCGCAAGGGAAGAAAACUUAUGAUCGAAUAAAUCAUGAGGUUGACGGUACCUUGAUAAGAAGCACCGGCUAACUACGUGCCAGCAGCCGCGGUAAUACGUAGGGUGCGAGCGUUAAUCGGAAUUACUGGGCGUAAAGCGUGCGCAGGCGGUUUUGUAAGACAGGCGUGAAAUCCCCGGGCUUAACCUGGGAAUUGCGCUUGUGACUGCAAGGCUAGAGUACGGUAGAGGGGGGUAGAAUUCCGCGUGUAGCAGUGAAAUGCGUAGAUAUGCGGAGGAACACCGAUGGCGAAGGCAAUCCCCUGGGCCUGCACUGACGCUCAUGCACGAAAGCGUGGGGAGCAAACAGGAUUAGAUACCCUGGUAGUCCACGCCCUAAACGAUGUCAACU